rnacentral:tRNA from 4 species
GGUCUAAUAAGCGUGUUUGGUAACACGAAUUGCACUGUCACUGCUCUAAAACGAGGGUUCGAAUCCCUCUUAGACCG